rnacentral:rRNA from 1 species
UACGGGGGGGGCAAGCGUUGUUCGGAAUUACUGGGCGUAAAGGGCUCGUAGGUGGCCAACUAAGUCAGACGUGAAAUCCCUCAGCUUAACUGGGGAACUGCGUCUGAUACUGGAUGGCUUGAGUUUGGGAGAGGGAUGCGGAAUUCCAGGUGUAGCGGUGAAAUGCGUAGAUAUCUGGAGGAACACCGGUGGCGAAGGCGUCAUCCUGGACCAACACUGACACUGAGGAGCGAAAGCCAGGGGAGCAAACGGG